rnacentral:rRNA from 1 species
AAAACAGGGGUAAUGCCGGAUGCUCCAUCACACCGCAUGGUGUGUUGGGAAAGCCUUUGCGGCAUGGGAUGGGGUCGCGUCCUAUCAGCUUGACGGCGGGGUAACGGCCCACCAUGGCUUGGACGGGUAGCCGGCCUGAGAGGGCGACCGGCCACAUUGGGUUUGAGAUACGGCCCAGACUCCUACGGGAGGCAGCAGUGGGGAAUAUUGUACAAUGGGCGCAAGCCUGAUGCAGCGACGCCGCGUGAGGGAUGGAGGCCUUCGGGUUGUAAACCUCUUUUGUUAGGGAGCAAGGCAUUUUGUGGUGAGUGUACCUUUUGAAUAAGCACCGGCUAACUACGUGCCAGCAGCCGCGGUAAUACGUAGGGUGCAAGCGUUAUCCGGAAUUAUUGGGCGUAAAGGGCUCGUAGGCGGUUCGUCGCGUCCGGUGUGAAAGUCCAUCGCUUAACGGUGGAUCCGCGCCGGGUACGGGCGGGCUUGAGUGCGGUAGGGGAGACUGGAAUGCCCGGUAGCGAAG